AGAGAGAGACAUGCGCGCAUAUCAAUAAGCGGAGGAAAAGAAACUAACAAGGAUUCCCUUAGUAACGGCGAGUGAAGCGGGAAGAGCUCAAAUUUGAAAUCUUCAAGGUUUUACCUUGACGAAUUGUAGUUUAAAGAAGUGUUUUCUGCUGAAGUUUUGGUAAAAAGUUCUUUGGAAUAGGACAUCAUAGAGGGUGAGAAUCCCGUAUUUGACCAUUAUUUCCAGCUUUGUGAUACACUUUCAAAGAGUCGGAUUGUUUGGGAAUGCAGUCCAAAAUGGGUGGUAAAUUUCAUCUAAAGCUAAAUAUUGGCGAGAGACCGAUAGCGAACAAGUACCGUGAGGGAAAGAUGAAAAGAACUUUGAAAAGAGAGUUAAACAGUACGUGAAAUUGUCAAAAGGGAAGCGUUUGACACCAGUGUUGUUUUCUCGAAAAUCAAUUAAAAAUGGCUCGAUUUUGUAUUGCUUGAGACCUUAAAAGCUCACUGUACAUUUUUCGUGUCCUUUUUAAUGCACUUUUCGUUUAACAAGUCAACAUCAGUUUCUUUUGUUGUAAAAGGGUCAUUGGAAGGUGGCUUUCUUUUCGGAGAAAGUGUUUAUAGCCUUUGGCCUCUGCAAUCGGAGAGACUGAGGUCUGCAGCGUAGACUCUUCGGGGUUAGAUACAUUUGUGCUAAGUUAUAGCCUUUUCAUAGACAACUUGUUGACUAUGAUUCAGUCAUUGUAGCUUACUCGCUUAUGCUAUUUUACCUACGCUUAGGAUGUUGAAGAUGUAGCACAUCAU
rnacentral:rRNA from 1 species